rfam:Salmo salar isolate Sally breed double haploid chromosome ssa03, whole genome shotgun sequence.
GUUUCUGUAGUGUAGUGGUUAUCACGUUCGCUUCACACGCGAAAGGUCCCUUGUUCGAAACCAGUCGGAAACA